GAUUCUGGCUCAGAAUGAACGCUGGCGGCAUGGAUUAGGCAUGCAAGUCGAACGGGCCCUUCGGGGCCCAGUGGCGGAAGGGUGAGUAACACGUGAGCAACCCGCCCCAAGGCCGGAACAAGCGCUGGAAACGGCGUCUGAAACCGGAUGAGGACCUUCACCGCAUGGUGGGGCGUCCAAAUAUUCAUACCCUGGGGAUGGGCUCGCGGCCCAUUAGCUUGUCGGCGGGCGACGGCCCACCGAGGCGACGACGGGUAGGUGGUCUGAGAGGAUGGUCACCCACACUGGGACUGAGACACUGCCCAGACUCCUACGGGAGGCUGCAGUCGAGGAUCAUUCGCAAUGGGGGAAACCCUGACGAUGCGACGCUGCGUGGAGGAUGAAAGGCCUUCGGGUUGUAAACUCCUGUCAUGAUGGAAAAGGAGAGGGGACCCAACACGUCCCUUAUUUGAUGGUACAUCAAGAGGAAGAGACGGCUAACUCUGUGCCAGCCGCAGC
rnacentral:rRNA from 1 species